rnacentral:tRNA from 1 species
GCGGCCGUAGUCUAGUGGUUAUGAUUCGAGAUUGCCAAUUUCGAGGCCCGGGUUCAAUUCCCGGCGGCCGCA